rnacentral:rRNA from 1 species
GACAGAGGGUGCAAACGUUGUUCGGAAUUACUGGGCGUAAAGCGCGUGUAGGCGGCUUUGCAAGUCGGGUGUGAAAGCCCUCGGCUCAACCGAGGAAGUGCGCCCGAAACUGCAGAGCUUGAGUACCGGAGAGGAUGGCGGAAUUCCCCAAGUAGAGGUGAAAUUCGUAGAUAUGGGGAGGAACACCGGUGGCGAAGGCGGCCAUCUGGACGGAUACUGACGCUGAGACGCGAAAGCGUGGGGAGCAAACAGG